rnacentral:rRNA from 1 species
AUUGAACGCUGGCGGAAUGCUUUACACAUGCAAGUCGAGCGGCAGCACGGGGGCAACCCUGGUGGCGAGCGGCGAACGGGUGAGUAACACAUCGGAACGUACCCUGUCGUGGGGGAUAACGAGUCGAAAGAUUCGCUAAUACCGCAUACGACCCGAGGGUGAAAGCGGGGGAUCGCAAGACCUCGCGCGACUGGAGCGGCCGAUGGCGGAUUAGCUAGUUGGUGGGGUAAAGGCCCACCAAGGCGACGAUCCGUAGCGGGUCUGAGAGGACGGCCCGCCACACUGGGACUGAGACACGGCCCAGACUCCUACGGGAGGCAGCAGUGGGGAAUAUUGGACAAUGGGCGCAAGCCUGAUCCAGCCAUGCCGCGUGAGUGAAGAAGGCCCUCGGGUUGUAAAGCUCUUUUGUUGGGGAAGAAAAGCAUUCGGCUAAUACCCGGGUGUCCUGACGGUACCCAAAGAAUAAGCACCGGCUAACUUCGUG